AUUGAACGCUGGCGGCAGGCCUAACACAUGCAAGUCGAGCGAGCGGCGGACGGGUGAGUAAUGUCUGGGAAACUGCCUGAUGGAGGGGGAUAACUACUGGAAACGGUAGCUAAUACCGCAUACCAUCAGAUGGGCCCAGAUGGGAUUAGCUAGUAGGUGGGGUAACGGCUCACCUAGGCGACGAUCCCUAGCCGGUCUGAGAGGAUGAUCAGCCACACUGGAACUGAGACACGGUCCAGACUCCUACGGGAGGCAGCAGUGGGGAAUCUUGCACAAUGGGCGCAAGUCUGAUCCAGCAACGCCGCGUGUGUGAAGAAGGUCUUCGGGUUGUAAAGCACUUUCAUCGGAGAGGCGGUACCCACACAGGAAGCAACGGCUAACUCCGUGCCAGCAGCCGCGGUAAUUC
rnacentral:rRNA from 1 species